rnacentral:rRNA from 1 species
UACGGAGGGUGCAAGCGUUAUCCGGGUUCACUGGGUUUAAAGGGUGCGUAGGUGGGCAGGUAAGUCAGUGGUGAAAUCUCUGGGCUUAACCCAGAAACUGCCGUUGAUACUAUCUGUCUUGAAUAUAGUGGAGGUGAGCGGAAUAUGUCAUGUAGCGGUGAAAUGCUUAGAUAUGACAUAGAACACCCAUUGCGAAGGCAGCUCGCUACACUAUUAUUGACACUGAGGCACGAAAGCGUGGGGAUCAAACAGG